UACGUAGGGUGCAAGCGUUGUCCGGAAUUAUUGGGCGUAAAGAGCUCGUAGGCGGUUUGUCGCGUCUGCUGUGAAAAACUCGGGGCUUAACCCCGGGCCUGCAGUGGGUACGGGCAGACUAGAGUGCGGUAGGGGGAGACUGGAAUUCCUGGUGUAGCGGUGAAAAUGCGCAGAUAUCAGGAGGAACACCGGUGGCGAAGGCGGGGUCUCUGGGCCGAUACUGACGUGAGGAGCGAAAGCGUGGGGGAGCGAAACAGG
rnacentral:rRNA from 1 species